rnacentral:sRNA from 1 species
AGUGUCUGGAUUUAUUGUCAGCAGAUGACAUGGAUCCCUAAGUGGACCAGUCCUUGGCUGGCCUUUCCUUCAGUUUCUGCUCCAUUCUUUCCCCCGGCAUUUCUUAUGACAGGAGGAAUUCUAGAUUAGUAGUUUGAGGUGGGUGUGUUGUCCCUCCCUCAACUAGGGGCCAUGUCUAUCCACUGGAUGUAGUCUCUUCAGGUUCUAUCUCCCCUUUGUUAGGUAUUUUGGCUAAAGUCUUUCCCUUUGGGCCCUGGGACUCUCGAGUGGCUACCCUCACUUCUCCUUACCCCACUGCUACACACCUUUCAAAUUAUUGACCCUCUGUACUUCUUUCCCAUCUUCUCCUAUAUCUAAACUGGUCCCCUUUUUGCUCCUCCUCCUCUCUCUCUUCCAGAAUCCUUUGGAUCUCUGCUUGUCAGAGAUUAUUCUCUUCCUCCUACUGGUUAGUACUGUAGCAUUUACACUUUGGUGUGAUCGUCUUUCUUCUUGGGUUUCAUAGGGUCUGUGAGUUGUAUCAUGGGCAUUUAAUCAUACCUCUCUCGUUGGUUGGUUUUAAUCAUAUCACAUCUUCAAUUUCCUAGGCAUUUUGUCACUAUUUGGCAUGAGCUCCCUUUCCUGGCAUGUGCCUCAAAUUAGAUCAGUCGUUAGUUGGCCACUCCCACAAGUUCUGCUUCUGCAUUGUGUCAGCACAUCUUGCAGUUAAGAUACAAAGUAGGACUCAAAUUUUGUGGAUGGAUUGGUGUCCCAGUCCAACCACCAGAAGCCUUGCUUGUUUACAGUCAAUGGCAUGCCCAGCCUUCAAAUUCUUCUUACCAGGCCUCCUAAUUGAUUCCUGGAAGUUUCUACUGCACUAGGUUUUUAUAUGGCCACUCAAAAUGCCUUUCAAUGACCUCAUACUCUCCUUUCAUUCUUCCCCAAUCACCUGAUCUCUUCUGUCCCCAUCCCUACCCACCCCAAAGAACAUUCCCCAAAAAUCUGUUCUAUUUCUUCUUUCUAAGGAAACCCAUGUGUCUCCCUUAGAGUCUUUCUUGCUAUAUAGCCUUUCUGGGUCUGUAGACGUAGCAUGAGUGUCAAUUACUUAUCAGUUAAAAUGAUCAAUGGGGGAAACUCAAAUGGCUGAGGAGCACACAAAGAGACGUUCAACAUCCUUGGCCGACAGGGAGAUACAAAUCAGUACUACUUUGAGAUUCCAUCUUAACAACUCUCAGGAUGGCUGAGGUUUCACCAUUAUCAAACUCUUGUGCAUUUGAUGCUUGCCUAUGGCGAGGCAGUGGCCCCUACUUGUUUAAGAUGGAGAAACAUCAGGACUACAUUAAGGAAGGAAUGUUUUAUUUAAAGCCUCCGUUGAGCUCCCAACAUGAGAAAUGAGAAAUGAAAGUAAAUCAAUACCCAGAUGUGUCAAACAUAUUUUAAUCAAGUUUCUCUGUGAAAGAAGACAAUUGUUUUGUGAAGCAUUCCGAACAUAAUAGACUUUAUGAUGGCAUGAAGGAUGAGCUCUGGGGUCCUAUUCAUGUUUGACAUUCUAUAAAGGGCUGAGAAAACACUUUUUGAAGGAAGAUCAACAAGAUAAAAAAGUAAAUGUUACCAAGAAUCUAUAAGUACUGACUCCUACAAGAGAAAGAAUGCAGUAAACAAAAUGACCAGCCAACCAACCAAUGAAAACCAAGUGUGUUUUGUCAAUUUUCACACCUAAGUGAACUGAGAAAAUGCCCUCUGCUUCCUUCUGUGGUGUCAGGAAGAAAUUCAAACCGUACAUGCCCUUCUCCAAAAGCAUCUACCCCACUUAUUGUCUUGUGUAGCCACAAUGGGGAGGGGAAAAAUAAGGUUUGAAGCAAAACACACAGUAAGCCAAUAUUCCUGUUCAAAGUGUCACACCAUGAAAUGCCAUCAACAUUUCAAGUUCAGAAGAUGUUAUCGAGAUUUUUAAAUGACAACAAGACAGAAGUACCAUUCGGGGCAUAAGAAUUCCGGUAUUUGGAUUAUUGUUUCUUUUAAGAAAGUGAUCUAACGUGCAUCUCAUUUAUAUUUCAUGCAAUUUUUACAAAAUGUUUACUGACUCACAUUGAUUGAUUUUCAUGGCUGAAGUGUUGCAGAUAUUUCGUUAUUGUUUCCCUAUUAGUAUGAGAUAUGAGAUGUUUGCUGUUUACUUUUACCCAUUUCAUUUACUGUGCUUAUCAUUUAUCAUAUUGGUUUUAUUUACUUUUUAAUCAUUUUUCUUCUGUCUUGUUUUUUUUUAUUUAACCUGAAGUUUCCAAUAAUUACAUGAGUGUAAUGGUUAACUGUGGACACUAAUUUUACCACAGCGAAUAAUAUCUUCAACACUGAUAAAGCAUAAUUGUGAGUAGAAUUUUGAGGCUGUUUCCAGUGUUUGCCCUAUGAAGCUGAAUGGAAUAGGAGAGAGAAUAUGCUGUCAAGUAGCACUCAACAUUAAAUCAUCUGCCAAAGCCAAUAGCUUGUGGAAAUAUGUUAUUAUAGUCAUAUUUCAAUCAGCCAGUCUUGGCCCUGGAUAUUAGACCUCUAGGCCUGGAAAGGGAUCCAUAUCUAG